rnacentral:lncRNA from 1 species
GUGGGUUUUCCGGGAAAGCAAUUGGGUUUUUGUUUGAAAGGAAGUUAAGGGUUUUGUGAAUGCAAAAGAGGAUGGCGUUGAUGAAGCUGAGGAGCAAAGUAGGUGGGAGAGAACUAUGCCGGAGCGGUUUAGGUACUUGACCUAAGAAGCUCCUGACCCUCCUCUGAGGUGGCCUUGGUUUCUGGGUAAAAUGCUUCACUGUCUUUGUCUAUUUUGAAGAAUUUGCAGGUCCGCUGAGCACAACAGCUUUCCCCCCAGCCGGGUUCAACUCAUCCGAUGCUUCGAUCUAUGUAACCAUGAAGCAAGGGGUUAUGAGGAACUAAGGAGGGCUGCAGGAAGCAGCAGGUCAUUAAAAGGGAAAUGUCUGGGCAGAAAUGGUACAUGCUGAGGAGUUACAUAAUAGCGAGAUAGCAUGGGUUGAACGAAUACUAUAUUGGGGAAGAUGCAGCUGAGGAGUUACAUACUUUUUCAAAUUGAUGUAGAUGGUAUGUUACAUAUCUCAUGUCACAUUAGCCAUAUGUUCUUUGCUUGUAGCUUUGCACUGAAGUUCCUGGGCUGGAGUUCAACAUAAUAUUAGUUUCUAAUGACCCAUAUUGUGCUUGGAUUGAAGGUUCUUUGUAUAAAUGGAAUACUUGUGUACUAUUUUCUCAUAUAUAGGUAUCGUGUUGUAUCCAUUUGCCUUUUCGGCUGUAUAUAACAGGUAGAAUCUGAUUCAGAAUUAUGGCACUAGCUUGUGUUAUGGAGAACUGCUAGUGCUUCAUUUGUGCCUUAAAUCAUCAGCUAAGAAGUCGUAGUGCCUUAGCGUAUCUGCUGUUGAAAUCUUGAACAGAUUCUGCAGCAGAAUGCCAAUAUAGCAUAACGGGAACAAAUUCUGUUAAGUUUAUCUUAUUCUAAAUGACUCC